rnacentral:sRNA from 1 species
UUCUUUUAUAUUUUUUUUUAAAGUAAGGUCUACAUAGAGCUCUCGUGUUCUGGUGAAGAUUACACUUUGGUCUUUGGGAGCCAAUUUCCGGAGAGAUCACCUUUUAAUUUCACUUUAAAAAGCAAGUAUGCUUGCCCGCUGGACGGAUCGUUACCAACAACAGCACCAAACACAACAUCCUCCGUCGCGACCACACAUGGUAUCAAUGUUACAACCACUGGUUCAACACUAUCAACCGUCGUAACAACCAGCGUGAAAACUUCAGCAUCAAGCGGUACAACCACCAAGGGAACUUCAACACAGAAGCCGCCAACCACGUCUAGCCGUAACCCAACUUCAACACAGAAGCCGCCAACCACGUCUAGCCGUAACCCAACUUCGACGACGAUAAAAGUGUCAUCGACGACUCACAAAGGAGCGGCUCCAGUUUUAAGCUCGAUGACAACUCCUGUCAUGGCAGUGGCAGUGCUAAUAGCAGUAAUUAUUUCAAAAUGACCCUGACCGAGCUAUAUUAUGUAACAUAACCAGUCGAUGGAGCACUAGUUUCGAAUUUCACAGAAUAUUUUGGGUCAUUGAAUUACAAAAGUUGGCAAAUAUGUUUAGUCCAUGUUUACUACGAAAUAAAAUAUGUACGAAAUACUUUA